GUUCAUUUGAAUAUAAAACAGGCGUUAUCACAGAUGUACAAAGCGUACUGGUGGUUUAACAUACAAGAAGGUUUGCUGUCCUUUGCACAUAAAAACUUUGUUUGAAACUGUGAUUGGCUGAGUAUAUGAACUGCUCUAACCAGUCACCACACUCUAUGAAAUAACGCUGCUAACAUUCAACUGAUAAAAGGGACAGUCUCCCCUUGGGUAAAGUGUCAAGCAGGAUUAAAUAUCUAUAUAUAUAUAUACUUAUUUAUAUAUAUAGAUAUAUAUAUAAAAUAAACAAGCACCAUGAGGAAUCUGCUCCUGUUUGAUUAGGUGUGUGUGUGUGUGUUUGUGUGUGUGUGUGUGUGUGUGUGUGUGAAUGUUCAUUGUGUACCCUCUUUUUGUGCAAAUUGAUUACAUGGUUUUGUCUGACUUCAAAAGCACAAGGUCACAAGACAAACAUUUUAUACAUUCUCAUGAAUGGUUUAUCUACAAUACAGUUCCUAAUACAGAACAAUCCUUCUUUAUUGCUGAAUCUGGUGGUACCAAAGGGUUGCCUUCCAGUUUGCUUUGCACUAUGUUGCUCCAAAUUCAGUCCUUUAUCCCUUUUGAGAAGAAAACUCAACACACCACAGAUGGACAGGUUGCAGAAGAGAUCCAUUAUUAACUCCUUUCCCGAUUGCAUUGCAACACAUGUCUCUCCCCUCUCCCUCCUCCAUGAAUGUAGAGUUGAUUUGGUGAAGGCUAAAGUGACCUUGGAAGUGAUGGCUAAAUUUGGCCAAAGGGACUGAGGUUGGAAUGACACAAGUUGCCUCCCCACUCCCCACUGGACAGUUAUAGUUUGCAAUUGAUCAAAAUCAUAUUUGAAACUUAGAGCCAACUUUCCCUUAGGACAAGGAGAUUGUGUGUAUACAAUUUUUUUCUUAUUUCAUUUUUCUUGAUAUGAUUUUUUUUUGCCCUUUAGGAAAUACAGGACCUCAUGUUACAUAAUUCUCAGAUUCUAUGUUUGGAGCAUAUGUUUAGAAAUAUUAACACAGCAAUGAAGUCCAAAGUAGUGAUCUAAAAAGCAAAUGUCUUGUGGACCUGGGAGGAUACACUGUACAUGCAGACAAAAAUGUGCCUUUAAAAAAUACUCAGAACAAGCUGCCUUGGAUUUUGGAAGUCAAACAAAACUUUCUUUUAGCAAAGGGCCCACUAUUGAAUGUAUACUGCAAAGUCAGACAUAGACAUUGCCUAAAAGUAUCAUUAAAAAAAAAAGGACCUAAAUUUUUCCCAGCAACAAUCUCAGUCAUGCAUAUCCAGUAACAAGAGAGCUAUCACAGGAGCCUAUUUGGGACAAUUAUAAAAUAAAUCAGUCUUGGGUGGCUGCUGAUAGACUCACUUGGUCAGACACAGACAGGCCGUCUUGAUUUAGAAAUGUACUAAUGAGCUCUGAAAAUUAAAAAAAAAAAAAAGGGGAGGGGACUGGGAGGGAUGGAGGGAAGAGAGGAGAGACGAGAAUGGAAGUAGGACCUGAAGAUCUAUUUAUCUAUGGGUAGUUAAAUGAAGGCAGCUGUGAAGCAUGCUUUUGUACUCUUCCCUAUCACUGGCCUCUGAUACGGGCUACCAGGGUAGCUCAGCUCCAUGAAGAACUCCGGGGUCUUAGAGACCCCGGAGAAGAGAAACUCACUAGCUCGGUUACAGGCAGGAGGAGAGAAGACCAUUUAUCUAAUUCCAUUCCCUAGAAUUGUCUUGGAGAAUGUGCCUACCCACUACAAUGGCCAUUGGAGGGAGAAAUGAGACCAACUUGGUGCAAGUGACCAUGUAAAACCAUUCCUUAUCAUAUCACAACGAUAACAGCAAUGAAAAAAAAAUAAACACACCAACAAAAAUGAUGGGGAAAACUUGUGCAACAAAUUCUUGCAGCUAGGAAACAGUGCUAUUUGCCAACCUGCCUUCCUAAAGUCUAACAAGUGUAAGCACAUGCCAGCACAAAUAUAGUUACUGUUACCUCUGUGGCAAAGAAAAAAAUAUUUUAGUGCAUGUUUAGCCUUAAAUUCAUUCACCAUCUUCGAGAUGGCAAUAAUUUCACUUGCUGGUAUCUGGUAUCUAGAAGAAACUUUUGAGACAGGGUUACUUGGCAAUCCAGGAUUGCUUUCAUCAGAGAAAGUUUGUGUGAGUUAACACUCAAUUAUCUACAUUAGAGUGGGGGGAGAGGGACAGGGACACCAUGCAAGUGACAAGUUCUGCAUUUUAAACUUUAAAAUCUUUUUUGUCCUUAGUGAAUUUAUAUUUCAUAUAUAUAUAUUUGAUGUGAUACUAUCCACGCAAGAUAAUACAACACUUUUUUUAUAUUAGCAAACAUUACAAGACUUUAAUAUUCUUGAAUGUUUUUUCUUUUAUACUUCUAAAGAGAUCAAAAUAAAUUAAACGUUUUGUACAUAAUUACAUAUGAAGAAGUUAACUUAUUUUAUCUUUUUAGUUUAGUACAAAGAUAUCUGCAAGAUAAUUGCCGAAAUACACCUUAUUUAUAAUUUCUUCUUUCUAUGCUAACAUCAAAGGCCAUUUGUUAGCCUUUGUCCUUCGGUACAUUUCUGACAAAGAAAGCUGCUAAAUUCUAAUUGGAAGGUGCUAUUUGGAAAGUUUUCGUACCUCAACACGUUUUCCUCAAACAAUGGGAUCUAAAGAUGGCUUCAAUUAGUAACAGAUCC
ensembl:lncRNA